rnacentral:misc_RNA from 1 species
CUCACGCGUCGCUUCACACCUCACGCACGCGUUUGCUCGAGCGCGUGACGUAAGUGCGUGUGUGUGUGUGUGUGUGGGCGCCACCCCCGCUCUCGCUCGCUCGCUUCCCAUGCGUGCAUGCGUGAAGCAGGGCCUAACGGUGCACAAGAGCUGCGCGACAGCCACACCGUCGCUCAUGCACACACCCACCAACCUUUCCAUCUUCUCCUACUCCCCAUACGGCCGCACAGCGCAACUCCUUCGAAGCGAUGAACCAGCUGAGGUUGCGUCGAUCUUCUCCCACGCAGCGGGAGUCCCAUCCGGCGACGGGGGACUUGGCGGACAAACACCGCAGUGCUACCUGCAGCAGGAAGCGGCGGUUCAGCAGGUUCGGCAUGUUCUGUACUGCUUUGAUAUGCAUCUUUCUCCAUCUGAUUGCCGUGGCGGGCUUUUCCGGCCAUGCCGCAUCGCGGAGUCCCGAGGACCUGGAUGAGCAGUGGGAUGACGUGCGCUCUUAUGCGGUGUGUUGUGGUCGAAGAUGCGCGGCGCGACGCCACUGUGCACCUAUGCCGGCGCGCGACACUACAGCUGGUGCGGCGCGGUAGACAACAGUAGGUAGGUGUGACUACUGGCUUCGUCGUUGCCCUCCAGCGACGGUCGCGCUGUCUUCGCGUCACCAGCCUUCUGACAGCAGGCGGCCACCGCGGCCUCCUGUUUCGGUGUCGAAGCGGUUCUUGUCACCGCCGACGGUGAAUGGAUUGUAAGAGAAGUGCGUCGCGGCACAGACGCCGUUUGCACGUCAUGCCUUCGUCCACCCCAUCCGCCUCUACGAGGCGCCACACGGUGUGGCGGCCAGCGGCGUCUUCUCGCAUAUUCGAACCCCAAUGUGCGUGCAGUCGCUGACCACCGGCCUUCACGAAGCACCGCCCCAGCUACGACCUGAUGCAGGUAGAGGCGCAGCUGCGGGAGCUGCACGCCAAGCUGCAGAAGUGUCUGUAGGCACGCACGGUUCUGUUUUCGCGGACUGUGCCAGCAGUCGCCAACCUGAGCGCCUUGGCCUCUUCUUGAGCUGCUGCGACGCACGCGUGGGAUGUGGAACUCCUUCUUUGCGCUGCUGCUGAACGGCUUCGCUACCACAGCUACGCAGGCGUCAUUUCGCGGGUUUCACCUCGUCAACUUGCACUUUAUCAACGCGCCCUUUCUGUCGCAGGUCGCUUCAACUCCACGCCAUCCAGGGCCUGACCGCCGGCAUCAGCAGCGGUACAUCGCACUGAACCCCUCUCCCCAUGCCGUGGACACCUGGCCCUGUCACCACUAGAGGCGACUUGGCAUUUGGCAUGAAGUGGGGCUACUGGGCCCAACACGGAGUUGGGGGGGGGCACGGGACCCUGAGACACCACGCACUGACAGGGGUGUGUGCCUCCCCUUUCCUCACCCCUUCAUCCGGGACCUCGUCCUGGAAAACUAGCGAAAAGUGUGGAAGGCGAGUCAUGCGCAUAUUUGGUCAUAGACCGUGAGGAUGACAGCGAACGCUUUUCGGAUGGAAAGGCGCGGAAGAAGAUGGAUGCUUGGCCAUCUCUUCGCACACCGACUCCUUUUGCCCUUCCCUGCUGAGAUGUAUGCGCGCUUGAUGUGAAGACCAUUUUCAUCGACGACAUCGGUACGACAGCAUGUGAGGGAAGCACCAGGGAGGCGAGAUCGGCAACAGAGGCGGCGGGCAGGCUGUGCAAAGAGGGUGCAUAUCAUCGAUGCAGAUGUGUGGUGCGUGCCAUUGCCGUGCGACGGCCAGGCGAUGGUGACUUUGUGAUGUGCUCUGAGGAAGAGGAGGCGGAUGGUGGUGGUGAUGAGGAUAGACGUCACCCCUCCCAUCCCCCAACACACGUGCCUAGAACCGCCCACGGGGAGACACAUCUCGCUCCCCUCCCUCCCCACUGUGCACGCGGUGGGGCAGCACCGCCGAGAGCACGACACGGCCGCGAUGUGUACAGAGAGGCAGCGGGAACACGAAGGCGACGCACACGUAUGGCCUAUGCCGAUCUCUUUCGAGUGAUGACUCUGCGUGCCCUCUUUUCUGUGGCGCGGGAAGAUUUGCACAAGCAAGGCAGAGCAGCGCUUUCGAGGAGCAGGCCAGAUAAUCCAGCCUUGAAGCGCGCCGUUCUCUUUUCCUGGCGGCACCCGACUCCCGUUCCCGCAUGCCUCUCCUGUCGUCACCCACGCAUACUUGUAACAUCCUGGCGUACGCGGACUGAAGCGCCCACCAUAGUGCACUCACCCUUCUCCUCUUCCUCUUUGUGUUGCUUCUUGCCAUCAG